rnacentral:rRNA from 1 species
AUUGAACGCUGGCGGCAGGCCUAACACAUGCAAGUCGAACGGUAACAGGAAACAGCUUGCUGUUUCGCUGACGAGUGGCGGACGGGUGAGUAAUGUCUGGGAAACUGCCUGAUGGAGGGGGAUAACUACUGGAAACGGUAGCUAAUACCGCAUAACGUCGCAAGACCAAAGAGGGGGACCUUCGGGCCUCUUGCCAUCGGAUGUGCCCAGACGGGAUUAGCUAGUAGGUGAGGUAACGGCUCACCUAGGCGACGAUCCCUAGCUGGUCUGGGAGGAUGACCAGCCACACGGGAACUGAGACACGGUCCAGACUCCUACGGGAGGCAGCAGUGGGGAAUAUUGCACAAUGGGCGCAAGCCUGAUGCAGCCAUGCCGCGUGUAUGAAGAAGGCCUUCGGGUUGUAAAGUACUUUCAGCGGGGAGGAAGGGAGUAAAGUUAAUACCUUUGCUCAUUGACGUUACCCGCAGAAGAAGCACCGGCUAACUCCGUGCCAGCCGCCGCGGUAA